GAAAGAUGAUUCAAGAAAUAUGUUACUGUUAUGGACAUAUGAGGCAAGCAAAUACUACCACACAACUAUAUAGUCCUUAAACGUAGAAAUUCAAUAACAGCUAAAGCAUAGAACUGAAAUAAAGGCACAAGUCGACUGAAGUUUGCAAGUGCAGGCUGCCUUGCUGAUCUUCCUGGGAAACUAAAACUAAAGGGAUAGGGUUUUCCUAAUUAAAAUACUAGUUCAAAUACUGAAACAGGAGGACCACAUUAAAGUAUCUUAAGUUAAAUACUGUGAUGAUCCUCAAAUCACACCAAGUGUUCCCUCACUCCGGGUCCUGCGCAUAGACAGGUCAGGACUGAAGCUAAGAAGUUUGCUGCUGAAGUCAUAGACCUGUGGCCGUGUAGUAGUUUUAGUUCCAAUAGGGGGCAGGCGGGCAGUGGGUCUACUUUUGGAUGGUUUUGUUGAGGUCACUUUUUGACUUUUACGACCAUGGGUUGAUGAAGAUGAUGCUUUGUGUGUGACAACACCAUGGCUUGCCUUCCGCAUAGCCUUGACCGGCUUGAGACCUCGAUCGAGCUGAUGAGCACCAACGGCUAAUCUAGCAGAUCUGUCUGCUGUGUCCUUCACCUUGACGGGUUUUCUGUUGAAGUAAAUGAGAUUCGGAAGAAGGCCUUGAAGAUUCUUUUUCAGUUGUUCAUCACCAACAUUCUUCUGGGCAGGGUUCCCUUCCAGGCUGAUUGCUUGUAAAGAACCAUAAUUAGCUGCAAGUUGGCCCAAGCAUUUGGCUGUAGAUAUUUUGUUGAAUCUCAAAUCCAGGACAUUCAAUUUUAGGAGGCGGUGAAGACCCUCAACCUCACUGAUUUUAUUCCCAGCUAGGUACAGCUCUUUCAAGGAAGAACAUGAAGCAAGACCAUGUCCAAUCCUCACUAGUCGAUUGUAGCUCAGAUCAAGAACACGAAGUCGUGUAAGUUCACGCAAUCCUUCAAUAACUGAGAUACUGUUCCUGGACAAAUUCAGAAUAUGAAGCCCUCGAGGGAGAGCACCAGCAGUAAUCCUCACUAUGGAAUUCCCUGAUAAGUUAAGUGCUCUCAAACUCACAAAAGCACUGAGAAAUGGAAUCACAACCAACCCAUGAUUUAUCAUCUGAGCUGAUGUGGCAUUGGCA
rnacentral:misc_RNA from 1 species